AGAGUUUGAUCCUGGCUCAGAGUGAACGCUGGCGGUAGGCCUAACACAUGCAAGUCGAACGGCAGCACAGGAGAGCUUGCUCUCUGGGUGGCGAGUGGCGGACGGGUGAGGAAUACAUCGGAAUCUACUUUUUCGUGGGGGAUAACGUAGGGAAACUUACGCUAAUACCGCAUACGACCUACGGGUGAAAGCAGGGGAUCUUCGGACCUUGCGCGAUUGAAUGAGCCGAUGUCGGAUUAGCUAGUUGGCGGGGUAAAGGCCCACCAAGGCGACGAUCCGUAGCUGGUCUGAGAGGAUGAUCAGCCACACUGGAACUGAGACACGGUCCAGACUCCUACGGGAGGCAGCAGUGGGGAAUAUUGGACAAUGGGCGCAAGCCUGAUCCAGCCAUACCGCGUGGGUGAAGAAGGCCUUCGGGUUGUAAAGCCCUUUUGUUGGGAAAGAAAUCCAGCUGGUUAAUACCCGGUUGGGAUGACGGUACCCAAAGAAUAAGCACCGGCUAACUUCGUGCCAGCAGCCGCGGUAAUACGAAGGGUGCAAGCGUUACUCGGAAUUACUGGGCGUAAAGCGUGCGUAGGUGGUCGUUUAAGUCCGUUGUGAAAGCCCUGGGCUCAACCUGGGAACUGCAGUGGAUACUGGGCGACUAGAGUGUGGUAGAGGGUAGCGGAAUUNCCUGGUGUAGCAGUGAAAUGCGUAGAGAUCAGGAGGAACAUCCAUGGCGAAGGCAGCUACCUGGACCAACACUGACACUGAGGCACGA
rnacentral:rRNA from 1 species